rnacentral:pre_miRNA from 1 species
CCUGGAGGGGAGGGGUCCCUCAGCCUGGAUUGCGAGAGAGCAAAUGCCAGGCUGAGGGACCCCACUGGUGCACG